AGAGUUUGAUCCUGGCUCAGGACGAACGCUGGCGGCGUGCCUAACACAUGCAAGUCGAACGAGAAUCUCAUGAAGGAGACUUCGGUCAACGGAUUGGGAGGACAGUGGCGGACGGGUGAGUAACGCGUGAGCAACCUGCCUUACAGAGGGGGACAACAGUUGGAAACGACUGCUAAUACCGCAUAAUGUAUUUUUGAGGCAUCUCAGAAAUACCAAAGAUUUAUCGCUGUAAGAUGGGCUCGCGUCUGAUUAGAUAGUUGGUGAGGUAACGGCUCACCAAGUCGACGAUCAGUAGCCGGACUGAGAGGUUGAACGGCCACAUUGGGACUGAGAUACGGCCCAGACUCCUACGGGAGGCAGCAGUGGGGAAUAUUGGGCAAUGGGCGCAAGCCUGACCCAGCAACGCCGCGUGAAGGAAGAAGGCUUUCGGGUUGUAAACUUCUUUUACCAGGGACGAAGACGUGACGGUACCUGGAGAAUAAGCCACGGCUAACUACGUGCCAGCAGCCGCGGU
rnacentral:rRNA from 1 species